rnacentral:rRNA from 1 species
AACGAACGCUGGCGGCAUGCUUAACACAUGCAAGUCGAACGAGACCUUCCGGCCUAGUGGCGCACGUGUGCGUAACGCGUGGUAACUUGCCCUUAGGUUCCGAAUCACUCCCCUUAAGGUGUGCUCAUACCGGUUAAUGUCUUCGGACCAAAGAUUUAUCGCUUUUGGAUGGGGGCGCGUUGGUUUCGCCAGUUGGUAGGGUAAAAGCCUGUCAAGGCGACGAUGCAUAGCUGGUGUGUGAGGAUGAUCAGCCGGACUGGGAAUGAGACACGGCCCAGAAUCGGACGGAAGGGAGCAGUAGAGAAUAUUAGACAAGGGGCGAAAGCCUAAUCCAGCAAUGCCGCGUGAGUGAGGAAGGGCGUAGGGUUGUAAAGCUCUUUUACACGGGAUGAGAAUGACAGUACCGGGAGAAGAAGCACCGGCUAACUCCGUG